UACAGAGGGGGCAAGCGUUGUUCGGAAUUACUGGGCGUAAAGGGCGCGUAGGCGGCCUGCUAAGUCGAACGUGAAAUCCCCGGGCUCAACCCGGGAACUGCGUCCGAUACUGGCAGGCUUGAAUCCGGGAGAGGGAUGUGGAAUUCCAGGUGUAGCGGUGAAAUGCGUAGAUAUCUGGAGGAACACCGGUGGCGAAGGCGGCAUCCUGGACCGGCAUUGACGCUGAGACGCGAAAGCGUGGGGAGCGAACAGG
rnacentral:rRNA from 1 species